GUGCCAGCCGCCGCGGUAAAACCAGCACCUCAAGUGGUCAGGAUGAUUAUUGGGCCUAAAGCAUCCGUAGCCUGCUUUGUCAGUUUUCGGUUAAAUCCAUACGCUCAACGUAUGGGCCGCCGGAAAUACUGCAAAGCUAGGGAGUGGGAGAGGUAGACGGUACUCGGGAGGAAGGGGUAAAAUCCUUUGAUCUCUCGAUGACCACCUGUGGCGAAGGCGGUCUACCAGAACACGUCCGACGGUGAGGGAUGAAAGCUGGGGGAGCAAACCGGAUUAGAUACCCGGGUAGUCCCAGCUGUAAACUAUGCAAACUCAGUGAUGCAUUGGCUUGAUGCCAAUGCAGUGUUGCAGGGAAGCCGUUAAGUUUGCCGCCUGGGAAGUACGUACGCAAGUAUGAAACUUAAAGGAAUUGGCGGGGGAGCACCACAAGGGGUGAAGCCUGCGGUUCAAUUGGAGUCAACGCCAGAAAUCUUACCCGGAGAGACAGCAGAAUGAAGGUCAAGCUGAAGACUUUACCAGACAAGCUGAGAGGUGGUGCAUGGCCGUCGCCAGCUCGUGCCGUGAGAUGUCCUGUUAAGUCAGGUAACGAGCGAGAUCCUUGCCUCUAGUUGCCACCAUUACUCUCAGGAGUAGUGGGGCGAAUUAGCGGGACCGCCGUAGUUAAUACGGAGGAAGGAAGGGGCCACGGCAGGUCAGUAUGCCCCGAAACUCUGGGGCCACACGCGGGCUGCAAUGGUAACGACAAUGUGUUCCGAAUCCGAAAGGAGGAGGUAAUCCUCAAACGUUACCACAGUUAUGACUGAGGGCUGCAACUCGCCCUCACGAAUAUGGAAUCCCUAGUAACUGCGUGUCAUUACCGCGCGGUGAAUACGUCCCUGCUCCUUGUACACACCGCCCGUC
rnacentral:rRNA from 1 species